UUAGAAAGAUGAAUUAAUGAGAGUGUAUAAAAGACUUAGGAACAGAGAUUAAGAGACUAGAGAGACUGAGAGAAUAAGAGACUAGAGAUUGGUGUUUAGAUUCAAGAACAAGACUUAGUUUCAUGAAGGAGAAGGGAAACCCCCUUACUCACUUAAUGUUUUCAAUUGUUUACAAGAAGCUUAAAUACAUAAAUGGAGGCUGGAUUCAUCAGAUAACCUAAGCAUGUGAAGUCAGCAUAAAGGGGAGCGUCCAUUUGAAUUCUAUGGACCAGAAUCAUCACAUGCUUGGCCAAUGGGAGUCUUUGGCGUGUCUGGCCUUUACAGGCUGUCAUGAGCUGUCUUGUGGACUGAAUACUUGGCUGUGAUUGGUCUGUGUGAGCUGGAGAGAAAGGCACCUUCCUGGUUGCUUCCUAAGGCAUCUUUGAAUAUGCCAAAUGGAUCUUUCUCCCUUGGAUAGUCUCACACGCCCUUCUCCUUGCCUUGUCUCCCAAGACAUGAUCAGACUUGGCUGUACGGAUGUCAUGACCGUACACCUUGUGCCCUAAGAUUGCACAUUCCUCAAAUGUGCUCAAAUGGUCUACCUGAUAAGUUUUGGGUUGAUCAUGUCCGUACGGUCCGUACCAUCCGUACGUCCGUCCGUACAGGCCGAUCCCUAUCUUUGCACCAUCAACCAUAAUCUCCCAAACUCCUCCAAUGUCUUGUAUACACCUUCAAGACACUUCUUAGAUCUUGUCUCUUCUUUGCAUCAGCUUCUAAUAACUUCUGAAGCUUGAUUGAACUCUUCUGGACAUCUUCUAGAGCUUGCCCUAUU
rnacentral:lncRNA from 1 species